rnacentral:rRNA from 1 species
CGCCAGACUCCUACGGGAGGCAGCAGUGGGGAAUAUUGCACAAUGGGGGAAACCCUGAUGCAGCGACGCCGCGUGAGCGAUGAAGUAUUUCGGUAUGUAAAGCUCUAUCAGCAGGGAAGAAAAUGACGGUACCUGACUAAGAAGCCCCGGCUAACUACGUGCCAGCAGCCGCGGUAAUACGUAGGGGGCAAGCGUUAUCCGGAUUUACUGGGUGUAAAGGGGGCGCAGACGGCGAUGCAAGCCAGGAGUGAAAGCCCGGGGCCCAACCCCGGGACUGCUCUUGGAACUGCGUGGCUGGAGUGCAGGAGGGGCAGGCGGAAUUCCUGGUGUAGCGGUGAAAUGCGUAGAUAUCAGGAGGAACACCGGUGGCGAAGGCGGCCUGCUGGACUGCAACUGACGUUGAGGCCCGAAAGCGUGGGGAGCAAACAGGAUUAGAUACCCGAGUAAC